rnacentral:lncRNA from 1 species
CUGUAAGAGAGGGGCCGGCGGCUGGGCUGGAUGGCUGCCUUUGAGUCCGUCCCGCGGUGAGGCUGGGGAAGGCCCAUUCCACGCGAGCCUUGGCUUCAGCCCCGAGGUGCCUGCCAGCCCCCGUGGCAGACCCCGGCCCUGCCAAUCUCAGCCCCCUCGGUGAUUCUGUUCCAGUGCUCGCCAAAAGCAGAAUCCGUGUAUAAUGAACAAGUUUCAUGUUCAACAUUUUAAGUGUCUAUUUAUGAGUCCCGGUAAUUAGCCCUUUGUCUGCAAUUCUGGCGAUGAUGAUUAGAAUUCCAUCUCACGUUAUGAAUGCUGCUCCCUAAACUUGUCCUUCUCGCCUGGGAAUCCCAAGCAGGUGCACAAGAAUGACUGUUUCUCCAAUUACAGACAUUAUAAGUUGUUUCCUUCAUUCUGAUUGAAUGCACCCACGUCGCUGGCCAC